GAUCUUGCGACAAUGGGCGAAAGCCUGACGCAGCAACGCCGCGUGCGGGAGGACGGCCUUCGGGUUGUAAACCGCUUUUCGGGGGGAAGAGGAAGGACGGUACCCCCGGAAGAAGCCCCGGCUAACUACGUGCCAGCAGCCGCGGUAAUACGUAGGGGGCAAGCGUUGUCCGGAUUCAUUGGGCGUAAAGAGCGUGUAGGCGGCCAGGUAGGUCGGUUGUGAAAACUGGAGGCUCAACCUUCAGACGUCGACCGAAACCAUCUGGCUAGAGUCCGGGAGAGGAGAGUGGAAUUCCUGGUGUAGCGGUGAAAUGCGCAGAUAUCAGGAAGAACACCCGUGGCGAAAGCGGCUCUCUGGAACGGUACUGACGCUGAGACGCGAAAGCGUGGGGAGCGAACAG
rnacentral:rRNA from 1 species